UUCAGAUGGCGGGGGGGCGGGGGGGUGGCGGUGGUGAGAAACUACAGCUCCCGGCAUGCAACGUCCUAGGGGUUCACUGCAUUGAAUGCUGGGGGUCGUAGUCUUUGGUCUCUGAGGACCAGCUGCGUAGUUUUGGCCCUUUCUUUCACGUUCCCCCAGCGUGUCUUUGCCAGAGCCCUGCCCUGCGUCUUAGAUGUUACAUCUCGUUCUGAUUACAGUAGAGAUAUGUGCCUAUUCCAGGAGUCUCCAUUGUACACAGCUUUUAGAAGCGGGCCUAGAAAGCCUUCAUGCCUCGGGCAAGGCCGCCCGGUUCUGGGGGGUCGGUCUGAGUCUGGGGGCUCCGCCUCCGGCUCAAGAGCACGAGUUUCCGAAUCCGCCUACAAGUGCGUCACUUGGGCAGCCGGAGCGUUCACCUCCUCUGUGCCUUUCCGCGGCCGGAAUCCCCAGGCCUUCCUUAUCUGGUUUACAGAAGAACGUGGUUGGGACCUUCCCGACCACCUUAGGGAAAUCGCGAGCAGCGCUGAGGCCUUCGACUCCCCAAUAAAGUACAAAGGCGGCGGUGACCUGACGGUCGUAGAACCCUUUCUGUGAAUCAGCUCAACUUCUUGACCUUUUCCUCCAAUUCUGAAUAAGUAAGCAACCAGUUCUGAAACUGCAAAUGCCACCUUAACUAGUGAGUGGUGGGGAGUUGGUGCUGCACCUGGAGAGAACUGAGACAGAGACAUAUCCUUCAAAACAGAGCCACUGCUUGUGGGUAGACGUUUCUGCAGAUGAUGAUGGGAAUUCAUGAGGCAGACAGAGCACAAGAUGUAUCUGUAGGUCAGGAAUCCAGAAGCACCUAACUGGGUAGUUCUGGCUCGGGUCUCUCAUGAGCUUGCAGUCAAGAUGUUGGCUGAGGCUGAAAUCAUCUGGAGGCUCAAGAGGAGCUGGAGGAUCUGCUUCCACGAUGGCUCCUUCACAUGGCUGUUGGCUGGGGCCUCAGUUCAUCAUCACAUGGACCUCUCCAUAGGGCUGCUUAAGUGUGCUCACAGCAUGGCAGCUGGCCUCCCCUGGAGUGAGUGAUCCAAGACAGAGAACAAAGCAGGAGGCACAAUGACUCAUAACCAACCUCAGAAAUCACACACCAUCAUUUCGGAAACAACCCUACUCAAUGAGAUUAUAUGAGGCUGUAAAUACCAGCAGCCAGAGAGCACUGGGGCCUGUUUGGAGGCUACUUAUUAUACCUUAGUUGCAAGGCAAGCUGGGAAAGGAUUUACAUGGCAUUUUCAGCUUCUCUCAUGGGAGGCUCAGAAUCAUAAGGUGGGGGUUUUCCUCAUGUAACAAUGAGAUUCAGAUGCUGCGAAGUGAAAAAGAAUGAUGUGUCCUCUACAUAUUUGAAUAUACAAACAGAUCAGUGCAACCAGUCGGGCAUGGUGGCUCAACACCUGUAAUCCCAGCAUUUUGGGAGGCUGAGGUGGGUGGAUCACUUGA
rnacentral:lncRNA from 1 species